AUUGAACGCUGGCGGCAGGCUUAACACAUGCAAGUCGAGCGAGCGGAGGACGGGUGAGUAAUGUCUGGGAAAAUGCCUGACGGAGGGGGAUAACUACGAGAAACGGUAGCUAAUACCGCAUACCAUCAGAUGUGCCCAGAUGGGAUUAGCUAGCAGGUGGGGUAAAGGCUCACCUAGGCGAAGAUACCUAGCUGAUCUGAGAGGAUGACCAGCCACACUGGAACGGAGACACGGGCCAGAAUCCUACGGGAGGCAGCAGUGGGGAAUAUUGCACAAUGGGCGCAAGCCUGAUGGAGCCAUGCCGCGUGGGUGAAGAAGGCCUUCGGGUUGUAAAGCACUUUCAGCGAGGAGGCGUUACCCGCAGAAGAAGCACCGGCUAACUCCGUGCCAGCAGCCGCGGUAAUAC
rnacentral:rRNA from 1 species